GAGGGUAUAGCUCAAGUGGCAGAGGUCAUGCUUAGCAUGCAUGAGGUCCUGGGUUCAAUCUCCAGUUUCUCCU
rnacentral:tRNA from 1 species